rnacentral:misc_RNA from 1 species
UCCGUAGGUGAACCUGCGGAAGGAUCAUUAAAAAGGAUACCGGGAAACCGGUAGACCCCACCCGUGUCUAUCUACUCUUGUUGCUUUGGCAGGUCGUGGCCUUCCACCGUGGGCUCUGCCUACGCGUGCCUGCCAGAGGACCAAACUCUAAAUUUUAGUGAUGUCUGAGUAACUAUAUAAUAGUUAAAACUUUCAACAACGGAUCUCUUGGUUCUGGCAUCGAUGAAGAACGCAGCGAAAUGCGAUAAGUAAUGUGAAUUGCAGAAUUCAGUGAAUCAUCGAAUCUUUGAACGCAUAUUGCGCCCGGUGGUAUUCCGCCGGGCAUGCCUGUUCGAGCGUCAUUAUAACCACUCAAGCCUGGCUUGGUAUUGGGGUACGCGGCUUCGCGGCUCCUAAAAUCAGUGGUGGUGCCAGUGGGCUCUAAGCGUAGUAAAUCUCCUCGCUAUAAAGUCCCCUCUAGGUACUUGCCAAAACCCCCCAUUUUUACGGUUGACCUCGGCUCAGGUAGGGAUACCCGCUGAACUUAAGCAUAUCAAUAAGCGGAGGAAAAGAAACCAACAGGGAUUGCCUCAGUAACGGCGAGUGAAGCGGCAACAGCUCAAAUUUGAAAGCUGCCAACAGGCCGCGUUGUAAUUUGUAGAAGAUGCUUUGGGGGUUGGCCUAGUCUAAGUUCCUUGGAACAGGACGUCAUAGAGGGUGAGAAUCCCGUAUGUGAUUAGUGCCUUCUCCCGUGUAAAGCUCUUUCGACGAGUCGAGUUGUUUGGGAAUGCAGCUCAAAAUGGGUGGUAAAUUUCAUCUAAAGCUAAAUAUUGGCCAGAGACCGAUAGCGCACAAGUAGAGUGAUCGAAAGAUGAAAAGCACUUUGGAAAGAGAGUUAAACAGUACGUGAAAUUGUUGAAAGGGAAGCGCUUGCAACCAGACUUGCAGGCGGUCGAUCAUCCGAGGUUCUCCCCGGUGCACUCGAUCGUUUUCAGGCCAGCAUCGGUUUCGGUGGCGGGAUAAAGGCUCUAGGAAUGUGGCUCCUCGGAGUGUUAUAGCCUAGGGUGCAAUGCCGCCUACCGGGACCGAGGACCGCGCUUCGGCUAGGAUGCUGGCGUAAUGGUUGUAAGCGGCCCGUCUUGAAACACGGACCAAGGAGUUUAACAUCUAUGCGAGUGUUUGGGUGUCAAACCCAUACGCGUAAUGAAAGUGAACGGAGGUGAGAGCCCUUUAGGGCGCAUCAUCGACCGAUCCUGAUGUCUUCGGAUGGAUUUGAGUAAGAGCAUAGCUGUUGGGACCCGAAAGAUGGUGAACUAUGCGUGAAUAGGGUGAAGCCAGAGGAAACUCUGGUGGAGGCUCGCAGCGGUUC